AAAAACAUGUCUUUUUGUUUUUGAUUUAAGGUUUGACCUGCCCAAUGAUUAUUAUUUAAUGGCUGCCGUAUUUUAACUGUACAAAGGUAGCAUAAUCAUUAGUUUCUUAAUUAGAAGCUGGAAUGAAUGGUUUGAUGAAAAAUUUACUGUCUCAAUUUAAUUGUUUUAGAAUUUUAUUUUUAAGUGAAAAAGCUUAAAUUUUUUAAGUAGACGAGAAGACCCUAUAGAGUUUUACAUGUUAAAAGUUAUUUUUUUAUGAUUUUAUUAAAUUUAAUUUUUUGGCAUGUUUUGUUGGGGUGACGGGAAAAUUUUUUUAACUUUUCCUUAUUUUAACACUAAUUAGUGAUUUAAUGAUCCUUUUAAGAUUGUAAGAUUAAAUUACCUUAGGGAUAACAGCGUAAUUUUUUUUGAAAGUUCUUAUUGAUAAAAAAGUUUGCGACCUCGAUGUUGGAUUAAAGUUUAUUAACGGUGCAGAAGCUGUUAAAUUAGGUCUGUUCGACC
rnacentral:rRNA from 1 species